AUACGGAGGGUGCAAGCGUUAAUCGGAAUUACUGGGCGUAAAGCGUAUGUAGGUGGCAGACUUAGUCAGAUGUGAAAUCCCCGAGCUCAACUUGGGAACUGCAUCUGAAACUGGUCAGCUAGAGUUUGGUAGAGGGAAGUGGAAUUCCGGGUGUAGCGGUGAAAUGCGUAGAGAUCCGGAGGAACACCAGUGGCGAAGGCGGCUUCCUGGCCCAGAACUGACACUGAGAUACGAAAGCGUGGGUAGCAAACAGGAUUAGAAACCCCAGUAGUCC
rnacentral:rRNA from 1 species